rnacentral:rRNA from 1 species
AACGAACGCUGGCGGCAGGCCUAACACAUGCAAGUCGAGCGAGGACUUCGGUCCUAGCGGCGGACGGGUGAGUAACGCGUGGGAACGUGCCCUUUGCUACGGAAUAGCCCCGGGAAACUGGGAGUAAUACCGUAUGUGCCCUACGGGGGAAAGAUUUAUCGGCAAAGGAUCGGCCCGCGUUGGAUUAGGUAGUUGGUGGGGUAAUGGCCUACCAAGCCGACGAUCCAUAGCUGGUUUGAGAGGAUGAUCAGCCACACUGGGACUGAGACACGGCCCAGACUCCUACGGGAGGCAGCAGUGGGGAAUCUUAGACAAUGGGCGCAAGCCUGAUCUAGCCAUGCCGCGUGAGCGAUGAAGGCCUUAGGGUUGUAAAGCUCUUUCGCCUGGGAAGAUAAUGACGGUACCAGGUAAAGAAGCCCCGGCUAACUCCGUGCCAGCAGCCGCAGUAAAAC